GGAGGGGGAGAGAACAGUCCCACUGUGGCUACACACCUACCUCUACCCAUCUAUUUUUAACCUACAGUAGCCACAAUCCCUCAUCCACACUAAACAUUUACUCACACAGUCUUGUGCCAGAUGAUUUUAUUUGUCCAGAUUUGUGCAAAGCACAAGACUUUCCUUCAAUUUCCGACACAGUAAAAUUGUAAAGUGGGGGCACAUUGCAGUACAAUGGGCCCCCACUUUAAUGCUGCCAUGGAAUAAAAAGACAUGUUUUAUUCCAUGCCAGGGAAUAAAACAACACGUAGUACGUACUGUUUAUAGCCAUCGUUUAUAUUUAUACUCACACAACAAGUCCAGGUCGACCUCCCCAAACUUCUUUCUUAAAACUUCUUCUUUGUUGUAAAAAUGCCAAUAUGGUGAUAAUUAUUCCCUGAACCAGAUUGUCCAUUUUAGUUAUCAAUGAUAUACAAAGAUUGUAGUAAAACUGUUUUUCUUUAGAUGGAGAAAAGCCACUGUUACUGCCAGAACUCUCCCUUUGAGGAGUUAUUAAUUGUCUGGCAAUUUAGACAGAUUGAGUAUAAAUUUAC